rnacentral:rRNA from 1 species
UACACACCGCCCGUCACGCCAUGGAAGCUGCCGAGUGCCCGAAGUCCGGUGCCGGGAACCCUUACGGGCCAAGCCGCCGAAGGCAAGCGUAGUGGCUGGGGCG